AGAGUUUGAUCAUGGCUCAGGAUGAACGCUAGCGGGAGGCUUAAUACAUGCAAGUCGAGCGGUAAGGUUUUCGGACCCUAGAGCGGCGAACGGGUGAGUAACGCGUACGAAACCUACCUUUAAGAGAGGAAUAGCCCUGGGAAACUGGGAGUAAUGCCUCAUAGUAUUCAUUUACCGCAUGGUUUAUGGAUUAAAGCUACGGCGCUUAAAGAUGGUCGUGCGUCUGAUUAGCUAGUUGGUAGGGUAACGGCCUACCAAGGCUACGAUCAGUAGGGGGCGUGAGAGCGUGGCCCCCCACACGGGUACUGAGACACGGACCCGACUCCUACGGGAGGCAGCAGUAAGGAAUAUUGGGCAAUGGACGCAAGUCUGACCCAGCCAUCCCGCGUGCAGGACGAAUGCCCUAUGGGUUGUAAACUGCUUUUGUUUGGGAAGAAAUGUAUUCUUUUAAGAGUAUUUGACGGUACCAGACGAAUAAGCACCGGCUAACUCCGUGCCAGCAGCCGCGGUAAUACGGAGGGUGCAAGCGUUAUCCGGAAUCACUGGGUUUAAAGGGUGCGUAGGCGGCCAGAUAAGUCAGAGGUGAAAGUUUCCGGCUCAACCGGGAGAUUGCCUUUGAUACUGUUUGGCUUGAAUCAGAUUGAGGUUGGCGGAAUGUGACAUGUAGCGGUGAAAUGCAUAGAUAUGUCAUAGAACAUCGAUUGCGGAGGCAGCUGGCUGGAUCUGUAUUGACGCUGAGGCACGAAAGCGU
rnacentral:rRNA from 1 species